rnacentral:lncRNA from 1 species
AUGCUUCCCCGGGAAUGUGAACGGGCCCAAGUGCUCCUUUCUUUCCCUCAAGGGCCGGCGCGGGGAAUAAAAAUGCGGUCCCUGAGCGCCGGGUCUGGGUCUGCGUCUGGACGGUGCCUUCCAGAGCCCCGCGCGUCCGAGGCCCGGCGCCCUCCUUCCCCGGGGGCAGCCGCGGCGGCGCUAACCGGGCCCCGGACGGCCGCGGGAGCGUCGGGGCCGGGCGCCGCGUCCCAGCCCGAGGGGCGGCGCCGCCUCCCCACAAGGUACCCGCGACGAACGUCCCCCCGGCCCUUGGGGGUGACGCCGCCUUCGGCCGGGCUCCGCGCUCGCGAGCUCGGAGCCGAGGGGCCGCGGCCGGACGCCAAGUCCCAGCCUCGGCCGGCGGGUGUGCGGGCGCCCGCGCCCCCCGGGCCGCCCCCCGGCCACCCCCUCCCUCAGCCGGCGGGCCCGGGGGCUAGCGGAGCCCGAGCGCCCCCGGCAGGGGUCCGGGGCGGGGCUGCAGCUGAGGAGCUACCGGCGCGACCCCCUGGGGACGGGAGGCUCGCGCGCGCCGGCCAAUGGCUGCGGUGGGCGGGGAGGAGAGCGGCCGGGGCCCUGCGUGGGCCGCGGGUCCCUUCCCCACCCUCGCCGGGUCCCGGCCCGCGGCCCCGCCCGCCCGCCCGCCGCCGCCCUCUUAAACCCGGCGCUCGACCCCGUCGGCCCGCCCGAAGCCUACCGGUGCGGAGCCCGCGGAGCCCGCGCCGCCCUCGGGCUGUGGAGGCGCCCGGCCGGCGGCGGCGCUCGGGAAGGUGGGUGCCGGGCGGGGGCGCCGCGGGGUCCGGGGCCGUCGUCCGCCGGGGCGGUUGGGCGCUGUCACCGCCUCAGGGGCUCCCGGCCCCCAAGGGGCAGAGCUUGGCCCGGGGAGGCGGCAGCCGAGCGCCCUCGGGGCUCAGGAGAAGGCCGCAGGCGCCGCCGUCGUGGCUGACCUCUUCGCCUGACCCCGUGUUCUUCAAUUUCGGAGUCACGACCCCGCCGCGUCUCCUUGUUGGCUCAUCGAUCCUGCCCUCGAGCCCCGGCGGCCCCUCGGCCUGGGACGACGCGCGGCCCUGA